CUAAAUAUAGAUAACAUGCUAAAAUUAGUAUCCAUGCCUGAAAUUCACCUUCUCGCAUUUUGGGUUUUGUGAUAGCAAAUAUUGGAAAGUUAAGAUCCAUGGGCUCUCUCACUGAGGAAGCCACUGGUCCAAGACGGCAGAAGCCGCCCGUGUUCACCAUAUGCGGGUUCGGGAUAGCAUUCACCGUCAGGCAGGCACAAUGCUGCGCCGUCUACGAGAUCUUCUUUCCUUCCCUCGCUCUCAUGGCCGAGCUAGAUAACCCUCAGAAUCCUCCAGUUGCACUAGGUAUUCAAAAACUCUAAAAUGGUAAAGAACCAAAGGAAACCCAAGAAGAACUACCAAAUCCCCAGAACUUCUUGGAAUAAGCAAGUCAGGGAGGAUUUCUGCUAUCAGCCUUGAAGUAAAUGCCAACUUCUUUGCGUUCGGUUUACCCAUCUCUGUAAUCCCCAAAGCUAAACAUCCCUAAUGAGGAAGGGGAAAAAAGGGAGGGGGUUGCUGCUUGCCCCCGUGAGACUUUUACAUAGAAAAGGUGCUUAAGGACGGCUGCUUUAUUUCAUAUAGAUGCAUUGUUUUUGUCAAAACUGAUCUGUGGUGUAAGAAAGGCAACAAAGGAAGGAAAUGUACAUUACAGAUUUUGUUCAUUUGAACUUCUGGAGCCAUUGAUCAAAUUUCAUGGUACGAACUGGAAAAGAGAAUUUCCAGGCCAAGUGUGGAUGCUUUCUUGAGUGUGCUAUCCACAUUAAUCUAAGCUAUAUGACAAAUCUUUUA